UACGAAGGGGGCUAGCGUUGCUCGGAAUCACUGGGCGUAAAGGGUGCGUAGGCGGGUUUUUAAGUCAGAGGUGAAAUCCUGGAGCUCAACUCCAGAACUGCCUUUGAUACUGAGGAUCUUGAGUUCGGGAGAGGUGAGUGGAACUCCGAGUGUAGAGGUGAAAUUCGUAGAUAUUCGGGAAGAACACCAGUGGCGAAGGCGACUCACUGGACGACUGUUGACGCUGAGGUGGCGAAAGCGUGGGAGCAAACAGG
rnacentral:rRNA from 1 species